CUGAGGGCGGGGGCGGGGACAAGUGGCUCAGGUGGACUUCAGGCUCGAGCUGUCCUGGGGGAGCGCUGCUUUGCUGGUGCUGCUGCUGCUUGCUGCUGCUUAGCGCUGGGGGUCCGUCGCCAGGUAAAACGUCCUCUCAUCGAGGGGAGUCAUGAGCCGCUUCUUGAAUGUGUUACGAAGCUGGCUGGUUAUGGUGUCCAUCAUAGCCAUGGGGAACACGCUACAGAGCUUCCGGGAUCAUACUUUCCUCUAUGAAAAACUCUACACCGGCAAGCCAAACCUAGUGAAUGGUCUCCAAGCUCGUACCUUUGGGAUAUGGACACUGCUCUCCUCAGUGAUUCGCUGCCUGUGUGCCAUUGAUAUCCACAACAAGACGCUCUAUCACAUCACACUGUGGACAUUCCUCCUUGCCCUGGGACACUUCCUCUCAGAGUUGUUUGUAUUUGGAACUGCAGCUCCUACAGUUGGUGUUCUGGCACCCCUGAUGGUGGCAAGUUUCUCAAUCCUGGGUAUGCUAGUCGGGCUCCGGUACCUAGAAGCCAAACCAGUAUCCAGACAGAAGAAGAGAAACUGAGUCCAGCCUUGCCACCUCUAAGAAGUCAUCACCUUCCCCCUUUGCCAUUUUCAUUCUUCAUCCUCUGCCCUUCCAUUGCUUCUUCUUGGCUCUAGCCUUAGUUCUUUCAUCCAAUUUCAGCAUCUUAAGCUUUUGGGGUUUUUUAACAUUUUUUAAUAUUUUAAGAUAUUCGUAUAGAAAAAUUAUGUAUCAUAUAUGUAUGAUUUAAAGUAAUUUUGACAAUGUUCUGUGACUCCUUCCAAGUCAAGGAGCCCUCAGAACCAUGUGUCCUCCCCACAGCUGCAGCAUCCUCCUUCAGGCCUCCUUUCCAGUCUUCUGUUUUGUUUUCUUUUCCAUUCCUUGAUUUGACUUGUGUGGUGAGAACAUGAGAACUGUGAAACUUCAAGCUGCUGCCCACCCAGAGCAGCUGUGACCAAGGGCUGCUUCAAGGGGUUGUCCACACACACUGGGCUCCUCUCUGCUGCUGGACCCAAGACUCUGAACCAUCCAACGGACAGGCAGUUCUUCUGAGAAGGGCUCCCUUCCGUGUGAGCAGGACCGUGGCUCCUCUCUUGUCUACAGAGCCCCACCCCACCUCCUGCCCCCAGGCCCAGGAAAAGAAAGUGAUAGCUUUUGGCUUCUUCGUGUCUACGGUAGUGAACAGGACAAAGACCCAGAUUCUAAGUUCACAGCUCAACAGUCAUGGCCCUUUCCCAUUUUCUUCCUAAAGAAGAAACAGUCUUGAGAACAGAUACAGAAAGUAGAAUGAAGCAACCUAGGAGAAACAGCUGCCUAGCCAUGAAAAGAAGCCCCCAGACACCAGGAUCAUGCUUCAGAGUAGAUAUUCAUCUCCUGUACACUGCCUGGAGGCCUUCAUUGCUGGGCCACAUACUGUAUACUCAGCAUGUCUCUCAUGUCAACAAAUACCAGAUAAUUUUGCAAGCAUUCUCCACAAGAAAAGAAAGGGAUGAGAGAGGGCAAGAGACCAAGCAAGAAAGGACUCCAAUACCCUCCACCAGCCUCUCCCAACACCAGCCCCGUGACCUAAUGGGGAAAGGGCAGGAAUC